rnacentral:rRNA from 1 species
AAUCAACGCUGGCGGCGCGCUUAACACAUGCAAGUCGAACGAGAAAGUGGAGCAAUCCAUGAGUAAAGUGGCGUACUGGUGAGUAACACGUGGGUAAUCUACCUCUGGGUGGGGAAUAACUCUGGGAAACCGGAGCUAAUACCGCAUAAGCCUGUAAAGGGAAAGGCGAAAGUCGCCGAGAGGGGAGCCCGCGGCUGAUUAGCUAGUUGGUGGGGUAAGAGCUCACCAAGGCUGAGAUCGGUAGCCGGCCUGAGAGGGCACACGGCCACACUGGCACUGAAACACGGGCCAGACUCCUACGGGAGGCAGCAGUGGGGAAUCUUGCACAAUGGGGGAAACCCUGAUGCAGCGACGCCGCGUGAGCGAUGAGGCCCUUCGGGGUGUAAAGCUCUUUCGGCAGGGACGAUGAUGACGGUACCUGCAGAAGAAGCUGCGGCUAACUACGUGC